rnacentral:rRNA from 1 species
AUACGUAGGGGGCUAGCGUUAUCCGGAAUUACUGGGCGUAAAGGGUGCGUAGGUGGUUUCUUAAGUCAGAAGUGAAAGGCUACGGCUCAACCGUAGUAAGCUUUUGAAACUAAGAGACUUGAGUGCAGGAGAGGAGAGUAGAAUUCCUAGUGUAGCGGUGAAAUGCGUAGAUAUUAGGAGGAAUACCAGUUGCGAAGGCGGCUCACUGGACUGUAACGGACACUGGGUCACGAAAGCGUGGGGAGCAAACAGGAUUAGAUACCCUGGUCGUCCACGCCGUAAACGAUGAGUACUAGCUGUCGGGGGUUACCCCCCUCGGUGGCGCAGCUAACGCAUUAAGUACUCCGCCUGGGAAGUACGCUAGCAAGAGGGAAACUCAAAGGAAUUGACGGGG